GACUCCUUUUAGUUUGCUUAUACUUUAAAGAAAGGCCCAGCUAACUAUUGACAACACAAGUAAAGAUUGCUCUAGCUUGUUCCUUGCCAAGUGCCACUCCAAGUGCCAGGGGACAGUGUCUGUUGGGGAGCAGGUGUACUAGGGCAAUAUACCUAUCAAACCAAAAUGCAGACUCUGAGGGUGAGUCCAGGGAAGAUGGAAAUCUCCUGUGGAGUAGAAGGGUAAAAGCUUACCUGAUCUUAAUUUUCAUUUUUUUUGUGAAAGACAGGCCUUACGAUAUUUCUGACUUUUUGUUCAGUAAGCAGGAGAUGUCAAGGAUGACAGGGAGGCCAAGUGCUUAUAAUGACGCAAAACUGAAAAUUUAAAGUUUAAAAUUGCUUUUUCAUCUUUGUGUCUGCUCUUCUUUUCAGUGCGAGGCAGAAUUCACCGAGCUCUGGAUUGUUCCCCCACUAACAGGGAAUGUGAUUUGGCUUUUGGCUGUUGUAAGAAAGGUUAGUU
rnacentral:ncRNA from 1 species